GAACAGGAAAUAAUCCCAGUUCGAGUCAAUUCCAACCCUUACGACGCAGCUACUGUGUGCAGGACACGAGGAAAACUAAGAAAAUUUGAUUAUACACCGGGACCAGUUUGUGGGACCACCAUGAUCCAGAGAGACUCCAUAACACUCCUGAAGUUUUCUAGAUUAUGGAAGAAGACUGCCCAUCACCCUGCUCCCCUUUGCUGUUGUAAUAAAAAGGAGCACUAGGUGGCAUCAUACUACCAAAAGUCCUCACCUUCUAGAGCCUUUGGGAGAAACACUCUCCAGAUUGGGUCAGCCCCUAUUUCGACAAAUAAGAGUGCUUCUAUCUCAUUUCUCAUUACACCCACUUAAUUUAUUUACUGAGCACCUACUAUAUGCCCAGCCCUCUCCUGCACGCUGUGGAGACUAUAAAGGAUUUGAAACCGAUCGGGGCCCUGUGGGGCUCCCGGGCAUGGAGGCCUUUUUGUCCCCCAUUUCUAGUAGGCAAGACUCUAGCCUCCAUGACCUUCCCUGAGUUCCAAAGGGCAGAUUUGAACAGUUGCUAAUCAAGGGAGGAGCAGCCAGGAAACCACCUGUGGCAAGAUUAAAGGGACCAAAAACGCUCAUCAAGAUUAGGAGACCCGACCAUCUGAGACCCUGCACACACCCUAAUCUUGUCAGCAACCCCACCCUUGGGAAGUAUUGUCAUAAAACUCCUCAUCAAAUCCUCCUGGGUUGGGACAUAUAGUUUUUCGAGGCAGGAACCCGCUGUGUCUCCCCUUGCCUGGCAAAGUAAUAUAGCUCUCCUUUUCUACUUCACCCAAAACUCUGUCUCCAAGAUUUGAUUCUGCGCUGGUGGUACAGAGGAGCUGAGCUUUUGGCAUCAGAGUCAAAAGGCUCUCCCCACUAAAGGAUCAUAAAGAGAAGCAAAAGAUACUUGCCACCCCUCCUCCACACACAAACACAUUUUAAACAGUCUGAGGCAGGAUGCCUGAGCACUGAAAUGAGGAUGUUAAGACAUAGUAUCUUGUGUAAUCUGGCCCCGUUAGCUUUCUGGUGCCUUCUCCCACCACUCACUCCUUGCCACAAUGGCUUCUUUCAAUUCCUUGUGUGUGUCAUGUUCUUCCCUGCUGCUUGGCAUUCACAAAGGCUGAUCUCUCUGUCUGGAAUACUCGACCCUCCCUCUUCACCUGACUAACUCCCAUCCAUCCACCCUUCAGAUCUCACUUCCUCAGGGGACCUUCCUGACCUGCCCCCAACACCAGACUACCUUUUCAAGUGCCACGAAUUCUGCUUCUUGGAUCAUCCCACAUGGUAAUUAAUUAUGUAUUCACGGAAAUGGUGGUUUCAUAUCUGUCCUUGUUGUCGAACCCAAGUUUGUGUGCCCGAUGCACAGUGAAGCCAAACAAACUGAAACGUCGGAGUUUGGAGUAGAGAAAGGUUUAUUGCAAGGGUCCAGCAAAGAGAACCGCCAGCUUAUGCUCAAAAAGCCAGAAUGGGGCCGUGGGGGGUGGGGGGAGGGAGGAAAAGUAUAGGCAAAAUUUGGGGUGUGGGCUACAGGGUGUGACCAUCUUCUGAUUGGUUGGUGGUGAGGUAACAAAGGUGGUGUUCCUGGAAUCUCAGUCAUCAGCCUUCAGGUUCCAACCAGUCUGGGUUCCUCCUGCUUAUGUUCAGCCAGAAGUUACCAGCCUCCGCCUGGGUGGAGGCCCUAGUUCACAUAGAAGAACGCAGAGAUACAUUGUAUGUACAUCCUUUGUUGGGACAUACAUUAUUGUUUCUUCUUUGUUUCUGCAUUCCCUCCAUCCCCUACUUAGGAACUGUUUGAAUCUGCCCUUUGGAACUCAGGGAAGGUCUAGGAGGCUGAAGCCUUUUUCCUACAAAUAAGAAACAGGAGACAGGAAAGGCUUUUGUACCCAGGAGGGCCCCGUUGCAUCCUGCUCAGUUUCAUCUUUUCUACCAGGCUGCCAAACAACAAGAGAACAAGGAUCACUUUUUCUCUAGUUCAGCCCUGUCUCCACUGGUGUUACAGGCUGAACUGGGUCCUCCUAAAAUUCUUAUGUUGAAGCCCAAACCCUCAGUACCUCAGAAUGUGACUGUAUUUGGAAAUAAGGCCUUUAAAGAGGUAAAUAAGUACAAAUGAGGCCAUUAGGGUGGGCCCUAAUCCAAAUCUGACUCCUGUUCUUAUAAGAAAAGGAAAUUUGGGCACACAAAGAGACACCAGAGAUGUGGGCACACAGAUGAAAGACACAGGGAGAAGAAGGCCACCUGCAAGCCAAGCGGAGAGGAGAAACCAAACCCUCCGACACCUUGCUCUGGGAUGUCCAGCCUCCAGAGCUGUAAGCAAAUAAAGGUCUGUUGUUUAAGCUACUCAGUCUAUGGUUCUUUAUUAUGGCAGCCCCAGCAAACUAAUACAAACGGCCAUCACUCCUCCUCAGUACAUAACUAUUAAGUGAGUGGCUACUGAACGAGUUCUGAAAUAAGGAAGACCUGUGAAGGAUGGUAUUAGAAGGGAAAGGUACACGGUAGACGAGGGUCUUGAACUUGACCUUAAAUGAUAUAUGAGUUAGAUACAUGGAAGAAAAGAGAAGGAAUCUCAAGUGUGGGAAACAGCACUGGGCAGAUACCAAGGCAAGAAUGCAAAAAUCCUGCUACAGGGAGGGUGGGGUCCCUAUCAGGGACCGGUGGACACGUGUUGAUAUGAGGGUCUGGGUGAAUGGUGGAGCCUUUGGAAGAAUGACAGAGAAGUAACUACAAACUCAAGGACCAGGGAGAGCCAAGGACACACCCAUUCGUUCUGCCAGAUAACUUUAAUAUAUGAUCAUGAUCUGUAAUACAUAUGCAAAGCUCCUGGUUUAAACCUGGAUAUAAGUGCCUCUUUUUUAGCUUCCUUAGGACUUAUAAGCUAUGUGCUGUGACUCAGUAAUAAAAACAGCAUUUUCUGUACACAGUGCUCCCCUCUUCAACAGCAUCCAGUGAGGCUGUGAAGUGAAACUCCAGAAAAGCAGAAACGCUGACAUGCGGCUCUACAUGGAAAUUCCAGCCUGCAAUGCAAAACAACUGUGCCCUAAAAGAAACCUAUGCCUCUAAUGGAUCAGAGAGGUUCUAGAAGGAAUUUGGGGGGAGUCGAAUAAAUGAACAAGGAGGGGAAUCCACAGGCUCAAGAGAGGAAGGGAGGGUUGGGGGAGGGGCUCCCUUGGUUGUUGAUGCCUCUUCACAUCCUGGUUGCAGUCCCUGAGCGGGUCCAGUAACACCUGCUCUCUUGGGUUCUGCCAGAUAUUUUGCAUCCUCCUAACAA